GCCCGGAUGGUGGAAUCGGUAGACACAAGGGAUUUAAAAUCCCUCGGCGUUCGCGCUAUGCGGGUUCAAGUCCCGCUCCGGGUACCA
rnacentral:tRNA from 14 species